AGAGUUUGAUCCUGGCUCAGGACGAACGCUGGCGGCGUGCUUAACACAUGCAAGUCGAACGGAAAGGCCCUUCGGGGUACUCGAGUGGCGAACGGGUGAGUAACACGUGGGUGAUCUGCCCUGCACUUUGGGAUAAGCCUGGGAAACUGGGUCUAAUACCGAAUAUGACCAUGCGCCUCCUGGUGUGUGGUGGAAAGCUUUUGCGGUGUGGGAUGGGCCCGCGGCCUAUCAGCUUGUUGGUGGGGUAACGGCCUACCAAGGCGACGACGGGUAGCCGGCCUGAGAGGGUGACCGGCCACACUGGGACUGAGAUACGGCCCAGACUCCUACGGGAGGCAGCAGUGGGGAAUAUUGCACAAUGGGCGCAAGCCUGAUGCAGCGACGCCGCGUGAGGGAUGACGGCCUUCGGGUUGUAAACCUCUUUCAGCACAGACGAAGCGCAAGUGACGGUAUGUGCAGAAGAAGGACCGGCCAACUACGUGCCAGCAGCCGCGGUAAUACGUAGGGUCCGAGCGUUGUCCGGAAUUACUGGGCGUAAAGAGCUCGUAGGUGGUUUGUCGCGUUGUUCGUGAAAACUCACAGCUUAACUGUGGGCGUGCGGGCGAUACGGGCAGACUUGAGUACUGCAGGGGAGACUGGAAUUCCUGGUGUAGCGGUGGAAUGCGCAGAUAUCAGGAGGAACACCGGUGGCGAAGGCGGGUCUCUGGGCAGUAACUGACGCUGAGGAGCGAAAGCGUGGGGAGCGAACAGGAUUAGAUACCCUGGUAGUCC
rnacentral:rRNA from 1 species